ACGAAGAUGAGCGUCAACUGCACCAGCACGCAGGACAGCAGAGAGAAGAGCAGGGUCAGGAACAGCCAGAUAUGGUCCCCAGCCGAGCUAUAGACUCACAUUUGCACCGCUCGGCUUACCUCCAACCCUAGCCGCAUCAGAAACCCUUCCAAGAGGAAGCACAGGCUUAUUACCAACUUUGUCUCCCGAGCCUCUGAAGCAACCUACUUUUAGAGUCCUUAAAUAGUCAAGUCAGUGCCGGUCAAAUACAUCCCCUGGGUUUUAGAGUUCCUUAUUAAAGUUCUCGGGAAGGGCCGCAGCGCAGGCUAUGCGCAGCACAGUCUGGGAGGCUCUUUCCGCCUGGCAGCACCACGGAAAAAGCAGGCUGACCCUUCCCCUCGUACUCCCCCCCCGCCCCACACGGGGCUGGAGUGUUCCGUGUCGCAAGUUUAUGGAGUGGCUGCGACGUACCAGCUUUAUGUUGCUGGCCCAAUCGUGAUGCUGAGAUCUCAUCCAAAAGUGAUGGAUCACAAAAGGAAAUUACAUAAAGAAAAUCUGGAACUA